CCCCGUCAUCUGUGUCACUAUUGUCCUCUCUCAUCCUUGUCACCAUUGUCAGUACACUGACACCAUUAUACUCACACAGAGGAACGGUCUGUCAUACUGCAGAGGAGCCAGACAGAACAAGUGUGGCCUGGGGCUGGGCCUGGCUGCUGCUUCAAGCCUUCUUGUCAGCAGCAAUGCCACUCAAUGUUUGCAGAGCCCUGAGCCGUCAGGCCCCAGGAGAAGCAGCCUGUUCUCUAGGCAUGUUGGUUGGAUACAGAGCGGGAAGACAAAACCAGGAGAGGCUCAGCCUUCACCCAUCUGGACAUCAGCCUGUGGAGCCAUCAAAGGACCUAGACACCCACACACAAAGACAGGACAGCAGCUACCUAGCACCAGGGCUGGGAUUGCUCCGAGAGCCAAUGGUACUUCCAGGGAGCUCACACGUAGCCCUUUGUCCAGGCUGCAGACAUGGCUGUGUGUCCAGCAGAGACAAGUUGGGGGCUGGGCCCUGGCUUGAAGGGAGUGACAAGCAGAGAGAGAGAGCAGACAGUGAUGGGGAUCCAUGAAGCAGCCCCUCGUUCCACCUGGCCUUCCUGCCACCUUCCCCUCCCCCAC
rnacentral:lncRNA from 1 species